CGUGGGCGGGCGGUGGCCGCGGCGCUGCCACCGCGCUGCGGGAGGCGGGGAACGAGCGGUCACCGCCAUGGGAGCGGAGCAGAGCGCCGAGGCCGAGAGCCGCCCGGGCGAGCCCAGCGCCGCAGCCAAGCAACGCGCAAAAAUGGACGACAUUGUGGUGGUAGCCCCAGGAACACAAUCCUCACGGAAUGUCAGCAAUGAUCCAGAUGUCAUAAAACUGCAGGAAAUUCCAACUUUCCAGCCCCUUUUGAAAGGACUCCUCAGUGGGCAGACCUCUCCAACCAACACCAAGCUAGAAAAGCUGGACCCCCAGCAGGUGCUGCAGCUGUGUCUCCGGUACCAGGAUCACCUUCACCAGUGCGCAGAAGCCGUCGCCUUCGAUCAAAACGCGCUUGUGAAGCGGAUUAAGGAGACUUAUCAAGUGACUGAUGUUUUAACUUCCCUACAAACUGUUGGUGAGCUUCAGUCCCUGAUACCCUACCAUUUGUCUGAGAUGGACCUCUCUGUGGAAACUCUUUACAGCUUCAUGCAGGAGCGCCAGAAGAAGUAUGCCAAGUAUGCGGAGCAGAUCCAGAAGGUCAAUGAGAUGUCUGCCAUCCUUCGCCGUAUCCAGAUGGGCAUCGACCAGACGAUCCCGCUGAUGGAGCGGCUGAACAGCAUGCUGCCGGAGAGCGAGAGGCUGGAGCCCUUCAGCAUGAAACCUGACCGGGAGCUGAAGUCCUAGCUGACCCGGCAGGCUGCCCCUCCUCAUCUUCCAUGCUCCAGUGUUCAGCACAGACACGCUUCCAACAGGCUGGAUUGGCAGAUGUUUGAAGCAGACAGCAGUGCUGCCUGACUCUGCCAGGGCAUCGGAGGAAGAACGUCAUCAUCUGCCAGAACUGCACAGCCAGGAAUCCAGGAGCUCCCCUGUCCUGUCGUCUGGAGAAGAGGAUUUACAUUUCUUUCAUCCCCCUCCUCUUGCCCUCCUGUCUCCUUUACCACUACUACUGCCUGUGCAGAGACAUUUGUUUCAUUGCUGUUGGGGUUUACAGAGGAGGAAUUUUCUUUCAUCUGAAGUUUUGUUUUUUACUAAAAAAAUUCAAAGGGAUACAGGGUGUGACGAACCUUCUGACAUGAUUUUUGUGCCACUGGGGUUUAGACGAUCAGAUGUCUGGAAGGUAUUUCUGACAUCCCCUGGCCUUGGAAAUAUGUGUGUUUUAUAGGUGAAAGUUGCACCACUUCUUGCCGUGACAUAUGUGGACAGUGCUGAGCUUUGCUUUGUACCCAGAACCCACCUUCGUGCUGUGGACAUGGCUGGUCUCACUUGCCCUGGGGCUGCCUCUGCCCUGGGACUGUAAGGAAACAUAUCCCAGAGUGAAAAUAAAUGUUGGGUUUUCUUCCAGUACGACCCCAAUUCUGGUUGGCACUGAUGUCCAGUUUAAAUACGUGAUGUGAGCGGCAAUGCUUGGGACUCACCAGCAGUGGGGUGGGACUGUAGUUCAGCUGGCUGCCUACCUUUUCUGUGCUGGCAAACUCAUGGAGGUGAUGAGGAUCUGAGGAUCAAGGACUCAAGACUUGUGUAAGACUGCGGUUUCCCUGUGCAAAGCACUGGCAGUGUGAGACCACUGCCUGUUUUGUUAGGGCACUUGCACUGUGUGUGCACCCAACGGCUUUCCCAGGCCUGAGUGGGAAGAAUAAACAUGAGCAUGUUUCUUUUAUUCUUUCCUCCCACACAUAUCUUCCUGUCACAUAGAGACCAUGUCCUGACAGAUGCUUUACAUCAGUUCUUCGCCAGAUCACAGAAGGAGCUGGAGCUGGGCAUCCUUGGACAGGCUGACUUCCAGGCUGGCCUCUGCCCUGCUGGCUGCUCAUCUCCUCCUCCCAGUUCCUUGCACUUCACUGAAUGGGUCAGACUCUGCUUUUAGCGCAAGUUUAGCCUCUUUCAGCUGGUCUGUGAUCCUUCUGUGGGGGCUGCUGGCUUGCUUUUAGCUACCACAGUUAGGUUUUAACUUCUUCAAUACGUGAGCCUGCACGGGACAGCCUGAUCCACAGGAACCCUGAGAUUAGCUCUGUUGGUUAGAACGUGGUAAUAAUGACAAAGUUAUGGGUUUGAUCACUGUAUGGGCCAUUCACUUAUGAGUUGGACUUGAUGAUCCUUGUUGGUCCCUUCCAACUCAAUAUUCUGUGAUUCUGAUUCUGUGAAGGAGAACUGCUCACCCAGCAGUCCCCAAAGCCAGGGCAGGUCUGAGGUGGUGAUGGAUGGGCUCCGUCUGAUGCAGGUUUCUGUGUAAGAGUUGCUACAUGUUGUUUGUAGAAAAUAAGCACAGAAACUCACAUAGGUUGUUACUUGUGCUCUGGCUGAUGGUUUGGUUUCUUUUAGGGAGGCUAAGAAUUCUGCAUUUCCCUCUCUGGGAUUAUACUUUGAAAUUCUCUUUUUAAGAAAAGAAAAACCUUCUGCUACUGCUCCUGAGUUUGAAGAUGCUGUUACACAAACAUUAUAGUUUGUAUGAGCUAUUCUCUGAAGCAGCAAUGAGGGGCGUACUCCAAUCUCAGCAAGCAGAACUUGCUCUGCAUGCUUCAAGACUGACAGAAUCAGUCAAAACAAGUAUUUAAACAAGUAAUUACAUUAAUCUUCAAAUAAGAAGUAUGGGAGGCAAAAAAACAAACAAACCAGGGGGAUCAUUCUAGGUAACAAUCCAUUUGAAAUACUUGCUUCAACAAGACUAACACAGCUGCCUGAGGAACAGGUUACUCACAGCUGUAUUAGACAUUGUUAAUGUGUUAAAUGCAGAGAAGUGCCACUGUUGCUCUUCAAGGAAGCAGAAGAGGUGGGGUAUUCAGGAACAGGUAAGAGGCCUAAAUGGUUACUGGUGCUAUAAAAUCGUGGCUGCUUGUGACAAGUGGUGCAAAGCUGCUCAAGCCAUGUAAUUUAUGAGCAGGCACAGCUGCAGAGAAGGGUAUGUAUGAUAAAGGACAAGCCCCCUGCUCGUCCUGCCUACUCAGGAGCAGGUUGUACUGCAGGUAGGUAAUGCACACUCCACAACUCCUUCCUCAGCCCUUCUAUAUAAACAGGUACCAUUUCUGAUUUUAUUUCAUCAUACAUACAGGUAAUUCUCAUGACACAAAAAGAUGAGAAACUUACAUCUCUCUGAACCAUUUGAAUAGCUUGCCAUAAACCAAAUAUGCCAAGUAUGCCAUACACCAGUGGCCAUAGAUUAUAUUCAUAUUGAACAUGUACACAUUUACCCUCUCACAUCCUCCACUUUGCCUUCCAGACUUCUACAAACCAUUUCCAGUAUUGUUCAGGGACAGGACUCUAGUUCAGAUAGGAGCCAGGGCACCACUCUGUGCGGGACAUGGGGUUAAGGCUUCCUCCUAUGGGGACUUAUCCCCUGAAAAUACCAAGCCUACAGCUUUGAUUCAUUCAGGGACUAGAAUGUACUGGAAAUCACAAGGAGCCACAAGACCAGAUUUCAGUUCCUCAGAGGGCAAUCAAGCAAGCAAACCCCAAACAUAGGAGAAGACCCAAAACCCAAACAUAGAGAAGGGGGGAACACACGUCUGAAGGAGCACAAAAGACAGGAAGAAUCUGCUUCUGUCUUCAUGAAUUAAUAUGUGUUAACCCCCAUUAACUGGUUUAAAUCACAGACAUGGGCUUUUCCUGGAGGAAGCACUGUUAAACUGUUUACAUAGGUAUAUACACACAGAGUAUGUGUAUAUAUAUGCUGAAAAGAGUUGUAAUGUAAUUGUUUUCACCUGAUAUAUAAACAGAGACAAGUGUUUAAUGAACCCCUGAUAUGUGUGAUGUCAACCUGUCCCUUGCCUGGGCUACCUCUUCUUCCAAUAUCUCGUACACACAGCCCAGAGCCUCCUGGUGCUGUCUCUCUCUGUGCCUUUUGCACUUUUUAGGAUCAAGUUAAUCAAUGCUGUAGCUUUCAGUGCUAUUUUCAACAGUCCACUGUAGGAAAUUAAAGUCACAUCCUAGUCACAAAACAUAUCAAUGACAAAAUCUUCUCCACUUUUCAAUAUAGUAAAACCUGAGAUUUGAGUCACAAACUAGCUAAACUUACAGUAAAAAAAAACCCUAAAAUAACCCAAGCUGCUCACUUGAAUUAGGGCUUCAGGUUGCUGCUGACAAAUUUUUUUUUAAAGCUGUUGGCCAGGGUUUAAGUGUUUGUUACAUGUGAUGUACAAUUUUCAGCUGCCUGCACUGAAAUGGGACAAAAAAAAAUAUAGUUUCCCCUCAAUACACAUUUUCUGAGGGGAAGCUGAGAAAGACCGAGGUAAGACACGUGCAGCUUCCCUCAGAGCAUGAAGGAUGAAGCUUUAACCAGUGCCUCUGGUACCACCCCUCACUGACCACAAAUCUCUUGCAGCAACGUGGGCACGUGAACCAACGUGAGCAGGGCAACCCAGCUACCACAGGAAUGGGAGCUGGAGGGGAAGCAGCUGGGUUGCUGUCAAAAACAACAUGAGAAGGGCUGUGCCUAAUCUUCAGUGAAACACCCCCUUGGCAGCAGGGAUGUGGCACCUCCUCACGUUGGUAUCUUCUCUGGAGUGAUGAGGGAGGACACGGUACAGCCUUGAGCAUCUGCAGACAAAUCACACACCAGCAUGCUGGGAAACCAAGACCCUACACUGGGACAGAGCAAUGGCCAGGAUCGAGUUCCUCUGAAGCUGUAAGUGUGGGAGGGGAGUGGCUUCCCUUAAUGGAAAGCCAUCCCUUCUCAAACCCCCUUUCCUUCACACACACUAUGAGAUGGGACACUGGAGCCCCCUUCUGUUUUCCUUGGGCAGCCAGCCAGACUUCCCUUUAUCUGAUGAAGUCAGCAAAACUAAUGAGAAGCCAGUCUCAAUCCAUGUUGGAAUGGAAUAAAACCCAACCACCUGCAUUGCCCCCACCCCAUGUAGGACUGGGACCAUAAAUGAAGAGCAGUUCCUCAGUGGUACUGCUCAGUUAAGGAUAAAAGCCUACUCCAUUUUUAUCUUAAAACCCACAAAGAAUCCCCAAACAAAACAAAACCAAACCAAACCAAAAAACCCCAAACCAAAAAAGCCUUCAAGAGCCUCCUAUUGAAUUAUUAACUGGCAAGAAAAGCAUGUUGUGGCCACUUGUAGCAGCCGCUUCUCUUGCAUGUAACCCUACCUAUCAACCACUCCAUUACAGCUUAGAAGCCAAAGCAACUACCCCUCUCCCAGAAGCCAGCUUAAUAUAAAAAAUAAGAAUACUGUAUCAAAAGACUGGAGGAAACAGUCCUAAGUAUGGUUCAUUCAUCUUCUUUUAGACAUUGCUGCUCAGCCAAUUGAAACACUUGUGCGUAGACAGCUUUAAAAAAAAAAAAAAUCAAAUGUGGCUAGUUGUUACUUGUUCACAUUGCUGAUGAACUGACUACCAGCAUGUGGCAGCCAUAAAGCCCUAGUUUAUUUUUUAUAUUUUUGAGGUACUGCUUUUUUUUCUCUGAAGCAGCUCUCUAGCAAAUCACUUAAAGCCUAUCCAUUAGAACAAUAGUUACACCAGUAUUUACAUUUGUCUAAAAUGUGUGUUCAGACAAGCUUUGCUGUAACCAUUCCCUAUGUCCUUUGGAAUUGCUCCCAGUCUCCUUUCUUACAGAAAAAAGGUCUCCCUCCAGAGGUUGGCUCAGUGUCAGGGCUAAGGUGCACUGGUGAACAUAUGGGGCAUGAGGAGGGGAGAACAAAACAAGUAGGAACGUGUUUCAGUGAAACCAGAGCAAGGUUGAUGCCAAGAGAGCUUCCUUUAUAAAACCCACUGAAACGCUGUGCAAUCCAUUGCAUACAAUUGCUUCCUCUAUCAGGGAAAGACCUUUGAAGUGUUCUGCCCUUCUUCAGGAGAGGAGAGGAGAAAAACCCAGCAGUACAUCUGGUGUCCUCGGGCAGACGCUCGCCCGUCAUUUCUUUGCGGCACUAACCUUUUGCUGCAUUCACACUGAAGCCUCAAGGUUCUUCCCUCCCCCCACCUUUUUACACACAGUUUUCAGAUUUACAGGGAUCUCUCAAAUGGUGGGGGAGCAGCCUGGAGAGGGAAGCAACUCUGAUACAGUCACACAUGCCUGCUGCCCCUCAGGACACUUCAAUGAUUUCCAUGCUGCCUGAAAAACUUGACUGACUGCCUACUUUUCCCAGUUCUUCUCUGGAUCUAUUGUCUGACAUGAUGCUCUCCCCAAACUCCAUCUGGCAGCUUCUGCGCUUAAACUGCUUUUCAAAAGAGCUUUCCUCGUGCCAGCUCCUCCUGGAGUCCCCUCGGUCCCCCUGCUUUGCCCUCCUGCGCACGGCGCAGGCCUGCUCGCAGCCCGUGGGUAGCUGGCUGCAGCUGUAGGCAGAGUAAGCGGCGCUGUUCCCGUAGAUGGCUGAGGCAGAGUAGAAAUGUGAGGACUCGGCUGCAAAAUACCAGCUGUUGGUCAGGGAUGUAGCCGAUGACUGAGGAGCUAAGAUGUCCGAGUGCCAGCCUUUGAGGCCCAGCCCAGCAGCAGACUUUGCCAAAUGCUGCUGGCUGGUGGAGAGACCAAACAAGAAGUUCGUUCGGUAGUUGUCUUCCAUGCUCCCACUCCGGUGGAGGGGGUACAGGAGUGACCGCUGAGUGGUGGCACUGCCACUGGCUCUCCCCAGAUGUUGCCGUUUGCCCUGGCUGUCCAGCUGCCACGUGUUCUGGGAUUUUUUGGGAGGGUUUGCUUCCUCUUUGUCAGGGCUGGUUUCUGGGGUCUGCUCCGACACCUCCUGGACAGGGGAGAACUGACACAACUUGCUGCUACCCUCUAAAGCAGUUGCAUGUUUGUAGUAUUCCAGGGUGUCUUCAGAGGAGGCAAAGCCCUGAACUGACGCAGUCACACAGUUGCUACUUGAUGAGUAGGACACAGAUUUGAUAUCCAAAGAAAAAGAGCGCUUCAGCCGGUUGCUGUCUUCCACCUUAUCCAGGGAGACAUGCAGUCCAUUUAUGCCCUGCACCAGUGGGCCAUCUUCCAGAGGGGACAGAUGCCCGCGUGGGGCACUGCCACAGUCCAUGGGUUUCUGUUCCACAAUCUCGGAGGUAGCAGUGAUGCAGAGCUGCUUCACGGAGAGGCUGCUCUGCCCUCCUUCCGGGACCUGCACGUGCUCGCUGCUUUUUUCCAAAUGCAGAAGUUUCAACUUACUAAUAUGUCCAGGCUGACCGGUCUGGUUUUUUAUCUUUUUCUCAAAGUCCAAAAGCUGGCCCAGGAAAUUGAAGUUGGGAGAAAUAGUUGGCCUCUUUUCUUUCACAAAUCUGGUAAGAAGGGACAAAAACCCAAGAAUUACUUAAAGAACCUGUUGCUCAGACCUAAGAUAACCCUCAAGUGAAUGUUGUGCAUGUCUACAGCCUAUUCUUAACUUAGCUUGGACUAGGGUUCAGUCAAGCACAAGUAACUUCAGGAUGGAGUUAAAAAAGGCAGUUUUAAGCAAAAUAAUGCUGGAUGCUGUCAAUUGUCUCUAUAGCUUACUUAAAGGUGGCUAAAAAGUGGGUGGGGAAGAAAGCAUUUUUUUAACUCUUCAUGAUGUCCACAAGUGAUUUGAGUGCAUCAUUUUCCUUAUUUACUUCAUCAGUGGGAUCUUUGCUACCUUGGUUUCUGACUGGAGUUAAGAGCUCCUCAAGUUUUGCAUGAACAACAUUUGAGCUGUAGCCAAGAGACUGUCUCCCAUGUGCUACAGAGAGUGGACACCUUCCCCAUCAUUCCAAGGGAUGACAUCACAUAUUCCUUUCACCUCUCUCAUGCUGUUGUUGUUACUGCAGUGAGCACUUCCUACCCUGUUUAUCAUUGUCAGGCAAGACAAAGAGCCAUGAUAGAUUUUGACCUUAUCCAGCAAGUUCCAGCAAUUCCUACCCCACACUGGUAUUGACCACUGAUAUGAUAAUCCAAAAGAAAAACAGGUGCAAAUGCAGCAUUAAACCAAAGAACAUUCUCUCAAGUCCUGUAGGUGUUCAGCAGUAAAGGGCAACAGGAUUGCCAAAUCCCUAGAAAAAUUUACCUAUUUUUGGGUCCUGUAGGAAGCAGCCUGACUGGCACAGGUGUGCCAAUCCAAGCACGCAGUCAUGUACUGGGUUCAAUAUGGAGAAGGUACAAUGAUACUGAAAAUGUUUUGCUGAACCAGAAUUCUAAAUGUAUGAAAGACCUAAGUAAUAGAAAUCAUGUCAUACACUUCAAAGUUAAAUACAAAAGCAUACUUCCUACCUGUCUGAUUUGCAACAUAGCUAAAUAAGUACUCUGCUUUUACAGGCUGCAAAGCAGAAAGUUGCCCAAAUCCCUCCUCCUCUGGUUUUGGGUUUUUUUUAAAGAAACAUUCCUGGACAAAAGAAUUAACAAGGGAAGAAACCUUGAGGAGCUAAAUGUAGUACAAACACACAUAUUAUAUGUCACUGGGAAAAUUAAAUAUUAUUAAAAAUAUAAUCUCUCUGGGGAAGUGUACAGAAGAUGAGUGUGCAGUAAUUAAAACCAGCGUGAGAAAAAUGGAAAGGUGUACUUGUGUAUAUGUGUAUAUACUAGUACAAAUGCAGGCAAGCACAUGAAAAACGUCAAACAAAACUUGCAUUUUUUAUUAGUGUUUUUUUUUAAUUUGUGAAAGAGCAAACAGUGCAAAGGAAUAGUCCAGUUGACAUGAUAACCUGGAAUAUCAGCUUGCACAAGCUCCCACCCUUUCCUGGCUGGAACCAGGAGAAUAUACAUACAUUUAAUAGGCAGUUUACAUUCCAUGUAUUUGCCUACUUGGAGCAAAGUCCAUUUUGCAGGUGGGCAGUUAAUAUGAGCUGUGUGAUGUCUAUUCAACACCAUUAAUUUUUUUCUGGAAGAAGUCUACGCUUCAAACAGGAGUGUGCAGAGGACAGUGAACUACCAGGUAAAAUGUCUGCUUCUACCCUUGGUCCUAUAACAUUUUAUCAUUCACUGUAAAAUAAGCACACAGGGACAAGAAUUAGUAUGAAAAGGAAAUUUCUUCUUACCUGUAAGCUUCAUCUAAUGACAUAUCCAUUCUCUUCAUGAUAUAGGCAAUAGCAAUUGUGGCAGAGCGAGAUAUCCCAGCUAAACAGUGCACUAACACAUGGCCAUUUGAUGCUUUUGCUUUUUCUACAUAGCAAAGAAAUUGGCAAGAGUCAAAGUCAGCAGCAUUUUACCAUGAUGAAAAGUUUGCAAAGAAAGCAAUGUUAUUUAAAAUUAUUCAAAACUUCCAAAUUAACUGCUAAUUACAAAUCUCAUGGAAGCUUUUAACAAAAAAAUCACUUCUUUUCUCCAGCACUGUACAGCACUAAGUAUAGAAAAAGCAUAACACACACAGGAGACAUACCACAGUUACAGUAUACCUCAAUUUAAUGUGCACAAAACCCACCCUAUUUAGAUGUCUGGGAAAGGUAAUUGUUUCUAAUUUUAUAUACAAGUAACAAGCAAGCAUUCAUGAUGGAACAAUUUGGCCAGUUCGAAUUCGGCUAGCUCACUUCUCACAGGACAGAAGCUGUAUGUCCAAAUUUCUAAUUCACUCUCUGCAGACAUAUAUUGGGAUUCUACCAGGCUGCCUGAAAGCAGAAUUGUGCUCUUAAGUGUUUUUGUUCUGUCAUGCUGGAAUGUGCAGUGGCAGAAUGUUACUUUGCUGUGUUAUUUUGCUUCUGUGCUUAUAAAGCGAUGCUGAUCAUGUA